rnacentral:rRNA from 1 species
GACGAACGCUGGCGGCGUGCCUAAUACAUGCAAGUCGAACGCAGUGGGGACGGGUGGGUAACACGUGGGUAACCUCCCAUCAGAGGGGAUAACACUUGGAAACAGGUGCUAAACUGAUACUGAUGGAUGGACCCGCGGUGCAUUAGCUAGUUGGUGAGGUAACGGCUCACCAAGGCCACGAUGCAUAGCGGAGCUGAGAGGGUGAUCGGGCACAAAGGGACUGAGAAACGGCCCAGCAUCCUACGGGAGGCAGAAGGAGGGAAUCUUCGGCAAUGGACGAAAGUCUGACCGAGCAACGCCGCGUGAGUGAAGAAGGUUUUAGGAUCGUAAAACUCUGUUGUUAGAGAAGCGGUAUAUAACCAGAAAGCAACGGAUAACUACGUGCCAGCAGCCGCGGUAAUUU